UACGGAGGGGGCUAGCGUUGUUCGGAAUUACUGGGCGUAAAGCGCACGUAGGCGGACCAGAAAGUCGGGGGUGAAAUCCCGGGGCUCAACCCCGGAACUGCCUUCGAAACUAUUGGUCUGGAUUCGAGAGAGGUGAGUGGAAUUCCGAGUGUAGAGGUGAAAUUCGUAGAUAUUCGGAGGAACACCAGUGGCGAAGGCGGCUCACUGGCUCGAUACUGACGCUGAGGUGCGAAAGCGUGGGGAGAAACAGGAUUAGAUACCCCUGUAGUC
rnacentral:rRNA from 1 species